rnacentral:lncRNA from 1 species
UAUAAACAUAUAACAUAAAUUAAGAAAUCACAUCGACGCCUGAAGCCUCCAACAGAAUUGACCUUGAACCUAGAUCGGAAAUUGGGGACGGCCUGUUGAGUUUCGAAGUAAGACAACCAUAGGCUUGGGAUGGGGAAGGUCCAUAGAUUAUCUGGUAUCAGUUAGGUCUUGUUUGGCCCUAGAUCGAAAAUUGGGGACGGCCUGUUGAGUUUCAAAGUAAGACAACCAUAUGAUUGAGAUGGGGAAUAUCCAUAGAUUAUCUGGUAUUAAUUAGGGCUUGUUUGGAUGAAAUUCCUGUUUGGCUGAAAAAUAAAAUCAUAAAUUCGAGAAGCUAAACUAUGAUGGGAGGGAUUUCAAGUGUGGAUUAGUGAUGAGGGAGAGGAGGGGAGCUGUGGUGUAAUUUUGGUCGAGUUUGGGGGUGGCGCCGCCACCGGCGGCUUAGGAAUUUGAGGCGACAUCUCUAGGAUUUUCUGAG